GUGCUCGCUACGGCAGCACGUGCACGAAAAUCGGAACAAGACAGAGAAGAUUAGCGCUGCCCUGUGCAAGGAUGACAUGUCAGUUUGUGAAGUGCUCCAUAUUUUG
ensembl:snRNA U6 U6 spliceosomal RNA